AGGACCCCGGUCUAACCACCGGGAAUGUUCAUAACCCUUUGUUGUCCGACUCUGUUGCCUCCGGGGCGACCCUGCCUUCGGGCGGGGGCUCCGGGUGGACACUUCAAACUCUUGCGUAACUUUGCAGUCUGAGUAAACUUAAUUAAUAAAUUAAAACUUUUAACAACGGAUCUCUUGGUUCUGGCAUCGAUGAAGAACGCAGCGAAAUGCGAUAAGUAAUGUGAAUUGCAGAAUUCAGUGAAUCAUCGAAUCUUUGAACGCACAUUGCGCCCCCUGGUAUUCCGGGGGGCAUGCCUGUUCGAGCGUCAUUUCACCACUCAAGCCUCGCUUGGUAUUGGGCAACGCGGUCCGCCGCGUGCCUCAAAUCGACCGGCUGGGUCUUCUGUCCCCUAAGCGUUGUGGAAACUAUUCGCUAAAGGGUGCUCGGGAGGCUACGCCGUAAAACAAACCCAUUUCUAAGGUUGACCUCGGAUCAGGUAGGGAU
rnacentral:rRNA from 1 species